AGAUCUAAGCCAAUAUAUUUGCUGGUGAAAUAGUGAUUGAUCACUUUUCCUGCAUUAUUUUCUCUACAGACAAAUUGGUCCAGUCUGGACAAUUAUAUAUUGGGUUAAUAAGCCAAGAUAUGCCCAAAAUUUUUACCCACGCAUGCAACUUGCCCUUUAUGGUGUACCAGAACACAAAGUGGAUAUCUUCAGUUAACCAGUGUUUCUCAUUUUGUCUGAACUGUAAAAUUAUGAUUACCAAGUCAGGAACAAGCUAGAAAAUCAAACUGUUGUUGGCAGUUGGUUUAAGAUCUUGGCUUGCUCUGAACUUGGUUGUGGGAGUUUCUAGUUGGAAGAUAUGAACACUGUUGCUAAUUGAAGACUUGUACCUUGCAUUCAGAAACACCAAGGAAGGAGGUGGCUGCUUGCAUUGGUACCAGCUUUAUUCAUAUCUUGGUUUAUUAAGCCAAGAUAUGGUCAUCUGAAUACAGCUAGAAAUAGAAAUAUAUAUUUCUUAAGGUGAUCAUUGAAACCCAGCAUUAUCACAGUAACAUCACAUUAUACCACAUCUGCAGGCAUAUCAGAAUGAGUGUCUUUGCUUGUGCUUUCUGUGGAACAAAUCUGGAUAAACUGCCUAGAAAAAUCACAUUACCUUAGGUGCCUAUAAUCUGGAAGCUAGUGUUGAAAAAUGCUAAUUUCUUACAUCUUCCCCAUUCAGUAGCAGCAUCAAAAGUUUGCUGCACAUUCAUAGCAAUUUGAGUUUAAUUUUUAUAGUCAUACUGUAGUAGUAUGUUGAAAUUAAGGGGGGUGGGGGAGAGAGAGAGAAAGUCAGCGAGUAAAAGUCCAGAGUUUUUGAUUAGACUAAACAAGCAUUUUUUCAACCCUAGAAUUUGGAGUUUUUCUUGAGAGUGAGAAAUCUGUGUUGUUUGAGCCCUCCCUUCAUCUUGGCUCCCCUGAUUUGCCCUCCCUUCUCUUCCAGAGAUUUGUGCCUGUGGAAUUAGCACAGGAACAGAAAGUGGAUGUGGUCAUUCUAUCUUUAGUAUUCACUUUUUUGUGCGUGCAGCCUAGCUGUACAUACUCAGACCCCUGUUGAGAGGGAAACAAAACAUUGGAAUAGUUUCUCAAAUAGCAACACAAGACCACAAAGGGGCAUCCUGAGGAAGUGGCAUCUUAAAGAUCAGAAGUUACCACCAGAACCCAUACAGGUAUAUUGCCUCAGGACACAAGCGGCCAACACCUCUCAUCUGUAGCCAAGGAUGCAAGACCAAAGCACCUUGAAGAGGAUCGUGACAGCCUGGACACAUGGAACAGGACAACUGCAGUAUCCAGAGUUCUGUUGUAACUCCCUAAAAGAGAGGUGCAGAGAACAGGACACAUUCCACUCCCAGUGCCAUGCAGAUUUCAAGUGAAGCCUAAAGCGAGACCAGCAGCUGCGACUUGUGAUUCUAGCCAUCAAUCCAGCUACCUUGAGUGCUAUAUGUAGAAAAGCGAGAUUCUGUAAAUUGAAAUAUCUGAUACUGUGUAAUAAAAGUUUUCAUUUGCAGCAACAGAUGUUUUUGUUUUUUGUCAGUGUGGAUGGCAGUAAUCCCAUCCACCAGUUCUCACUGGUCUCAAGAUGGGAACUCUGACCUGGAAAGGGUUGGUUUAUUAUUAGGGCUCAGGGUCUGUAAUGGCUCCAUGCUCAAAUGAAGGUAGUGGGUAGGCUCCUCAGAGUUUGCAAAUGGCCUGAAUACUACAAUAAGUGAAGCAGUCAGUUGGCAUUGAGGGCAAAAUGCAUGAUGAGGUCUGGUACAAUAAACACAGCUAGCUAAUUAUGCCGAUCAAUUCAGCAUUUUCCCUGAUUGGAUGACACAGUACUUAAUCAGGUGCGCCAGUCUGAACAUCUCCCAACAGUGACUGCUGAGAGGCUAUAUCAGUGGCUUGAAUCUGGAACUCAUUGCAUACCUGAGUAGUAGAGCAUUGGAGUUGCAUGCAGAAGGU